AUUGUGCCCCUGCACUCCAGCCUGGGUGACAUUAAAAAAAAAAUUUCAGCAUAAAAAAUACACAAUUAUAAAAUCAAGUGAGUAAAAACUAUAAUAUUACAUUUAAUUGGGAAUAUCAGAAUUAACUCUUAAAGUGCAAAAGUUUUUUCAUGAAGUGUAAUCGAUCAAUUUUUUUUUUCUUUUAUUGCUUGUACUUUUGGUGUUAAGAAGCCAUUGCUUAACCUGAGGUCCUAAAGGUUUACUCUUUUCUCCUUAGGAUUUUCUAAUUUUAGGUCUUAAAUUUAGGUAUGUCGUUUUGAGUUAAAUUUUGUGUAUGGUGUGAGGUAGGGGGUCCAAAUUCAUCUUUUUGCAUGUGGAUAUUAAUUUGCUUCAGCAGCAUUUGUUGAAACAGACUUUUUUUCCUAUUGAAUUGUCACUUUUUUCAAAAAUCAAUAUUUCACGAAUGUUUGGGUUUAUUUCUGGACUUUAUUUCAUUGAUUUACUUGUCACUUCUUAUGCCAGUACGACACUAUCUCAAUUACUAUAGCUUUGUAGUGAGUUUUGAAAUCAGGAAGUGUGAGACCUUCAACUUCGUGCUUUUUUUCCAAGGUUGUUUGGCUGAGUCUUUUGCAUUUCCAUAAGAAUUUUAGGAUCAGCUUGUCAAUCUUUGCAAAAAAAAAAAACAACAACAACAAACCAGCUGGGAUUUUGAUAAUGAUUGUGUUGAAUCCAUAGAGCAAUUUGGGGAGUGUUGCCGUCAUCUUCUAAUGUAUGAGCAGGAUGUUUUUACAUUUAUUUAAUCUUCUGUAAAUAUUUUAUUCUUUUAGAUCUAUUGAGAAUGGAAUCAUUUUCCUAAUUUCAUUUCAAAUUGUUGCUAGCAUAUGGAAAUACAAGUGAUUUUGUAUAUUGCUCUUGUAUCCUGUGACUUUGCGAACUUGUUUAUUUUAGUAGUUUUUUUCACUGAAUUCUUUAGGAUUUUCUACAUAUACGAUUAAUAUCUGUGAAUAAAGACAGUUAAUUUUUAAUCUUUUUUUUUUUUUUUUUUCUGAAUUGCCUUCGCUAGAAUCUCCAGUACAAUGGUGAACAGAAGUGCAAUACCUUUAAUAGAAUAAAUUUCAAUCAAUAAUAAAACUGGAGUGCCUUCAGUGGAGGGGAAAAUCAAACCUCCAACAGGCUCCAAUGAAGACUCUGGCCAGUGGCGUAAUUCCUGGGUCUCUACUCUUGAAUCAGUGCCCUAUGAAUUGCUCCCACUGGAGACUUCCUGACUAAUGCAUAGUCUAAUCCCUAGCUUGGUUCUUGCUAUCAUUACUCUCUUUUUCCUCAGAUGUAUGAAAUAGUAGAUCUGGUUUCAUAUAUUUGGUUUCAGGUAAACCUGUAGUGGCCGUGUGGUACAGAAAGAGGAAUGGACUGGGAAUUGAGGAAACUGAUUUCUAAUGUUGGUUCUGUCAUUAAUUGACUAUUUAUUCUUAGGCAGAUUUCUGUGGUUUUCAGACUUGGAUCAGUGUAAUAGAUUUGGAUUAGAUGAUUAUUAAAGAGUCCUUCCAGGUCAAAAUUGUAUGAUUCUAAGUCCUACCUAGAAAAUAAGUUUAUUGGUUAGGUAAUAUAACAUAUAAAAUAUAUAUAAUGAAAAUUCCUAGUAAUAAUUCUAGCUGGCAAUCCUUUUAUUCCUUCAAGUUGAAAGCACUUAUAACUUUAUAUACAGGUAAUAUAAAUGAUAUAGAAACAAAUUCCAAAUUAAAUAGCAAAAGUACAAGCAUAAAAAGCAUUAGCUAAAAUUUUUUAAUGGUAAAUACUACCUUUAUUUAAAAAAGUUAUACAUGCUAGAAAAAAGCAAAAAUGAUACAUGUAAACGUUUACUAAAUACUUAUUUUUUUUUCUUGAAAAGGUGCAAAUGGUCUUAAAUGUAAACACAAAGUUGCCAAACAUCUUUGUAAUGGGGGAGAAGGGAGAAGGAGGUUAUUCCUUUUAAAUGCAGUCAGUUUUAUUCAAAGGUUUUCUUGCAAAAUAUAUUGAAAAAAAUUUGCCUAUGAAUAUAAUGAGAAAAAAAACUUUAACCAUUGAAAUUAUAUUUUCCUUAAAAAUUUUACACUUUUUAUCAGAAAGUGCAAUUUGAGAGUAGUAGUAACACUGGCCUUAUAGAAUGAAGAUAAUGAUACAUUGUUUGUAUAAAAGAACCAAGAUAUUAAUAAAAUGCCUCAAUUGAUUUUGCAUUGUUUAAUGUAUGCUAUUACAUGAACUGAAGAAUUCAUUCCCUUGGAGGCUGUUAUUAAAGGUAAGCCUCAGCUUAACCAGGCCUGAGCAUCAAGAAUAAAUUGCAUAACAGAAUUCACUGCUGGGAGAAGAUAUUUCUCCCUGCUGGUCCUUGGUAGCAAUAAGGAAACAGGAAAGAACAGUUGCUUUAGUUGGUAACAUUUUUGAGCAAAAACUCUUGUAGAGCUGCAUGUGCUUCUCUUGGAUUCUCAAGAGAGCAUAUGAGACUCAUAUAUUUUUAUAAGAGGCACUGAGCAGAGCUCUAGAUCUAGCAGAAACUCUAUGAGAAUAUUAUGAAAAAAGACUAAACAAACAAUUUCAUAUAGAAAGAAACAAGACAUAAAAUUACACUGAUGAAAACUGUAGUGUCUGAGUCCUGGUUUUUAUUGAUUUAGUAUUCCUUCUGAAUUGUACUAUUUAAAAUGAGAUGUUGCCUUUUCUUGUUUUUUAGAUUUUCAAGUCAUCUGGUGCUUAGUGCAAGAAUGGCUAGCUCAUACAUUUUGCAUACCUACCUUUAUUCCUGGUGAUCCUUAUAAGCAGUGGAAUCAUGUGGACGGAGUGUCUAGAAAUAAUAACCAAAUCAUAUUAGCCCUUCUGACCUUACUAAAUAGUAUUUUCAAACCUAAGUCAGUAUCUUACAAAGUAAGUUUUGCUGCUUGGAAUUUUCUGUUUUUUGUUUUGUUUUU